UUGACUAGACGUUGCCAUAGUCUUCCCAGGUGACUGGAUCAGUUUACGCUCCCAGCAGCAGCCAUGUAUGAGUCCUGGUUGCUUCACACCCUUGGAAGAGAUAUAUUUAAUUAAAAGAAAUGACAGGACUUGGUGCUGAUGGGCCAGUUGUGCAGUGGGUGGAUGUUCAGCAAGCGCUGAAAGAAGACCUGGGCUCACCACGGCAAGUCUAUGGACAGUUCCACCGUGAUGAAUCAGCGUAUCUGUAGAGGAAUGGAAGAACACAAAGAAAGGCCUAAACGGCAGCGGCAGGACGGCCCCAUGUUUCCUUCUCCCAAAGCCUGGAAUUUCAGAGGG